rnacentral:rRNA from 1 species
GAUGAACGCUGGCGGCGUGCCUAACACAUGCAAGUCGAACGGACAGGCCCGGCUCUUGCGGGGUGCUCGAGUGGCGAACAGGGGAGUAACACGCGAGUAACCCGCACUUGUAUUUGGGAUAACUUCAGGAAACUGGGGCUAAUACAGGGGAGAAGAUCCUGCAGCACGGGGGGGGUUGGAAAGAUACGGCGGUGGGGGCUGGUCUCGCGGCUUAUCAGCUGGAUGGGGGGGUAGUGGCUUACAAAGGCUUUGACGGGUAGCCGGCCUGAGAGGGUGACCGGCCACCUUGGGACUGAGAGACGCCCCAGACUGCUAUGGGCGGCAGCAGUGGGGAACAUUGCAGAAUGGGCGCACGCCUGUUGCGGCAACGCUGCGUGCGUGAUGACGGGCUUUGGGUUGUAAACCGCUUUCUCCGUUGCCGAAGCGGGAGUGACGGUAAUGGGUAAGAAAGCACCGGCUAACUACGUG